rnacentral:rRNA from 1 species
AAAUUGAAGAGUUUGAUCAUGGCUCAGAUUGAACGCUGGCGGCAGGCCUAACACAUGCAAGUCGAGCGGUAGCACAGAGAGCUUGCUCUCGGGUGACGAGCGGCGGACGGGUGAGUAAUGUCUGGGAAACUGCCUGAUGGAGGGGGAUAACUACUGGAAACGGUAGCUAAUACCGCAUAAUGUCGCAAGACCAAAGUGGGGGACCUUCGGGCCUCAUGCCAUCAGAUGUGCCCAGAUGGGAUUAGCUAGUAGGUGGGGUAACGGCUCACCUAGGCGACGAUCCCUAGCUGGUCUGAGAGGAUGACCAGCCACACUGGAACUGAGACACGGUCCAGACUCCUACGGGAGGCAGCAGUGGGGAAUAUUGCACAAUGGGCGCAAGCCUGAUGCAGCCAUGCCGCGUGUGUGAAGAAGGCCUUCGGGUUGUAAAGCACUUUCAGCGGGGAGGAAGGCGGUGAGGUUAAUAACCUCAGCGAUUGACGUUACCCGCAGAAGAAGCACCGGCUAACUCCGUGCCAGCAGCCGCGGUAAUACGGAGGGUGCAAGCGUUAAUCGGAAUUACUGGGCGUAAAGCGCACGCAGGCGGUCUGUCAAGUCGGAUGUGAAAUCCCCGGGCUCAACCUGGGAACUGCAUUCGAAACUGGCAGGCUAGAGUCUUGUAGAGGGGGGUAGAAUUCCAGGUGUAGCGGUGAAAUGCGUAGAGAUCUGGAGGAAUACCGGUGGCGAAGGCGGCCCCCUGGACAAAGACUGACGCUCAGGUGCGAAAGCGUGGGGAGCAAACAGGAUUAGAUACCCUGGUAGUCCACGCCGUAAACGAUGUCGAUUUGGAGGUUGUGCCCUUGAGGCGUGGCUUCCGGAGCUAACGCGUUAAAUCGACCGCCUGGGGAGUACGGCCGCAAGGUUAAAACUCAAAUGAAUUGACGGGGGCCCGCACAAGCGGUGGAGCAUGUGGUUUAAUUCGAUGCAACGCGAAGAACCUUACCUGGUCUUGACAUCCACAGAACUUUCCAGAGAUGGAUUGGUGCCUUCGGGAACUGUGAGACAGGUGCUGCAUGGCUGUCGUCAGCUCGUGUUGUGAAAUGUUGGGUUAAGUCCCGCAACGAGCGCAACCCUUAUCCUUUGUUGCCAGCGGUUCGGCCGGGAACUCAAAGGAGACUGCCAGUGAUAAACUGGAGGAAGGUGGGGAUGACGUCAAGUCAUCAUGGCCCUUACGACCAGGGCUACACACGUGCUACAAUGGCAUAUACAAAGAGAAGCGACCUCGCGAGAGCAAGCGGACCUCAUAAAGUAUGUCGUAGUCCGGAUUGGAGUCUGCAACUCGACUCCAUGAAGUCGGAAUCGCUAGUAAUCGUAGAUCAGAAUGCUACGGUGAAUACGUUCCCGGGCCUUGUACACACCGCCCGUCACACCAUGGGAGUGGGUUGCAAAAGAAGUAGGUAGCUUAACCUUCGGGAGGGCGCUUACCACUUUGUGAUUCAUGACUGGGGUGAAGUCGUAACAAGGUAACCGUAGGGGAACCUGCGGUUGGAUCACCUCCUUACCUUAAAGAA